AAUGUGCUGGUCUCUUGCAUACUGCUUUUGUCAUAGGGCAAAAUCACGGAGUCUGGUUAAAAUUGAGUAUGAAGAGUUUUGUUGAGAAAAUAGAGACAGCUGCAGCACAAAAGAACAUUGCAAUGGGGGAACGUGGAGUCCCAGCAAACGGAACACACGAAUCCAAGGGGGGACAUUUGGGAGCUUGUGGUUGUAGGGCUGGAGGAGGAAGUACAAAACACAAUAUUCUGAUUGGUUGAUAGCGAUUGAGGUCAGUCAAAGGCAAGACAAAGUAAAGCAUAAUCUUCGACAUUAUUGGUUACAUGAGUACAUUGACUAAAAGACAUAACUGAAAGACAUGCAGUCAAGGGAAGGCUUCCUGCUGGUUACAAAGCGAUGACAUGAUGGAAAGUUUCAGGAGUGGUCUGAUAAUUUACUUUAUUCAGAGUGUCACUCUCCAGAGGACACUGGGAACAAAGAGUUUCCACACUCUGUCAUUUUGCUCUGUGUGUCAGAACUGAGGAGGCUGAGGUCAAAAUUUCCAUUAAGAGCUCACAUUCUUUAGCCUGACCACAAAGAAACUUACUUCCUCAACAGUAAUAGGGGUUGGUUCCUAGGCAGCAAAGGUAGAGUCUACAGGAAGGCUACACCGAGCUCUUAGAGUUAGCUCAGUCAUUUUACAAAUAGGUCAGGUGCCUCUGUUUUGAUUUUAGCCCUUAUCAUUUUUCAGGUGACUAGCUCCCUGGGAGGAGACCCAGAGGAUGCAAAUAGUUAACAAGCUUGGCUGCUAACCAAAAGCUGGAGAUCUAAGUCUACCCAGAAGUGACUCCGAAGAAAGGUCUGAUGAUCUACUGCUGAAAAAUCAGCCAUUGGAAAUCCUAUGAAGCACAGUUCUACUUUGACACACAUUGGCAAGUGGCAGUGCUCUGGGAUGCGGAGAAGUGGAAGGCCCUACCCAAUCUCCACCGGAAGAGGAAGUUCCGGAUAGCUGUAGUUCUCCAAGGCCCUGAAGGAGAAACUGGAGUGGCUGCUCUUGCUGCUUUCACAUCUGUCCUGGGGAAAUCAGUAAGAGAGCUGCACCAAGGCCCAGAAGCCUCUUCUCAGGCUUCCCUGUGUCUUCUCCUAAAAAGACACACAGAAGCCUCUAUCUCCCUGACAUCUGCCUCUGGAACUAUAUCUGCCUCAGAAGCUUACAUAGGUGACUGGGCCUUCUUGAAAGCAGAACCAAGUGUUGUUUUCUUUUCAUAUCACAGAAGCCUGUCAUCACAACUGACAAAUGGUUAGUGCUCCAUCAAAGCUUGCUACAUGGAGACUGGGCUUCCCUGGUCUGGGCUGAACUUCCUUCUAAGACAACAGGAGUCUGUCUCUCAGGUCCAUCAACUGAUGAAUGGAUAAACAAAAGGUGGCAUACCCAUACAAUGGAAUAGUAUUCAGCCAUGAAAAAGGAAUGAAGUACUGACACAUGCUACGACAUGGAUGAACCUUGAAAACAUUUUGGAGAGGUAGGUGUUGAUUCUAGAGAAGAACGAAGACACGGUCCUUGAAGAACUUAAAACAAAGCUGCUUACAGAGAGAGGUGAGAGUUUUUCCAGAAGCUCUGGCCCCUCUUCAGCAGAGGUCCAUUUAAGAAACCCUCCUCUUUAAUAAUUACAUGGUCAUGCUUUUUCAUGCCACCAUUGCAUACUUCUGCUGCUUGGCUUGCCAGUCACGAGUGUGUAUUUGUCACACUGGCAUUUUCUGUUGUGUGUGAGGUUAUGUCGGCACACAGAGCGACACUUCCUCAGCCUCUCCAGGUGCCUUGCAUGCAGAACUCCUCUUUCUAGAAUGGCUUUCCCUGGUGAAGAUUCAGUCCUCUUUAAAGCUCUGGUAUAGUGUCAUCUCAACUUUGAGAUCUUACCAACCUCCUCAGGCAGAGUUAAUUAUAUUGUCUCCUUUGUUAUCUCUGUUUCUUGUACACAAUUCAUUUAUUGUUAAAUAAAUGCAUAAAUGAAUGAGUCAAGAAAUCUUAUCUUACUCUUCUUGAUAGCUCCAGUCCUUUUCAUAGCAGUUGCUCUGAUAACCAAAAUAUCACAGCACAUAAUGGAGGUUUGAUAAA